rnacentral:tRNA from 2 species
UGUAAAAUAAGCUAAAUAUUAAGCUGUUGGGUUCAUACCCCAAAAAUGAGAUCUACUCUUUUACAA